GUGCUGCUAGCCUUGAGAGCACACAUACCAAAAAAUUGGAAUGAUACAGGGAAAAUUAGCAUGGCCCCUGUGAAAGGAUAACACACAAAUUCAUGAAGCAUUCUGUAUUUUU